UGGCCUCAAAUCAGGUAAGAUUACCCGCUGAACUUAAGCAUAUCAAUAAGCGGAGGAAAAGAAACUAACAAGGAUUCCCUUAGUAACGGCGAGUGAAGCGGGAAUAGCUCAAAUUUGAAAGCUGGCAGCAAUGUCCGCGUUGUAAUCUAGAGAAGUGUUUUCCGUGCUGGACCAUAGAUAUGUUCCUUGGAAUAGGAUGUCAUAGAGGGUGAGAACCCCGUACAUGCUA
rnacentral:rRNA from 1 species